AUAUCAGUAAGCGGAGGAAGAGAAACUAACAAGGAUUGCCCCAGUAGCGGCGAGUGAACAGGCAGAAGCUCAAAUUGAAAAUCCACGGCAACAAGUCAUGGAAUUGUAAUCUAUAGAGGUUCUCGGAAGGAACGAACUUCGCAUAAGUCCCUUGGAAUAGGACGUCAAAGAGGGUGAAAACCCCGUAGAUGGUGAAGUUCGACCGUACGAGAGCUUUCGAAGAGUCGGGUUGUUUGGUAUUGCAGCCCUAAAUGGGAGAUAAACUUCUUCUAAAGCUAAAUAUCUAUGGGAGACCGAUAGCGCACAAGUA
rnacentral:rRNA from 1 species